AUGCGAGCAGCCCGGCCGGCCCCGCCGCGGCUCGCGGACACUGGCGGCGCGGGCGCCCGGCGCGAACAGCUGCCUGCUCGCCCCUCCCCACCGCAGCUGCCGCCGUUCGGCCGCCCCCAGCACGCGGCCCCCGGCCCUCCGCCUUACUCGGCCAGUUCAGUCUGCUCUGCUCGCGCGCCGCUACGGUGUGGGAGGGAGAGAAAACCCUUCCUACAGCCGAGCCGGGAAGGGGAGGGAAAAAGAAGCCGAGGAGGCUCUGGCCGGGGAGUGUGGAACAUUGAAAGUCGGAGGGGGUUGUGCAGUGCCGGGCUCCGGCCGGAGGCUGGCGCCGCCCAGCGCCUUCGGAAAAAAGGGGGGGUGGGAGCUCGGCUGGGCGAGGGCGCGAGCUCCCGGCGAGGCGGAGGGGACGCGGGAGACCCCCGCGCGCUGUGGCCUCCCGCCGCCGCCGCCCGGCUCGGCUCCUCCCGGCCGCGCAGUCAGCAAGUUCCGAGGCGAACGCGGGGGGAGGGGCGGGCGCGGCGGCGGCGCGCGUGCUCGCUGCUUGCCUGGCGGAGGGGCGCGCGCCGCCGGCGCCCGGCGGGCGCGAGCUGUUCCCGCGCGCUCCCGCGCGCGCUCCCCGCACCUCCCCUCACCCGGGGGGUGCACGCGUCCGCCCGCGCGCGGCCAGGACAAAGAGCGCGGCGGGGACCUGGCGGGCUGGCCCCUGCCGCCCUUGGCCGCGGAGCCUGUGCCAGAGAAGGCGGGGGCGCGGGCACCGUAUCGUGGGGCCGCUGUGCCGCGGGGUGGCUUCCGGCCUGGGCCCGCCUCCGGGCGGAGGCUGCCCAUUGGGCUACCCGCGUCCCCAGGGCUAGUUCCAUCCCGUCCGCCUGCGUGGGGGACGUCGUGGCUCCCGGGGCCCCAGUACCUGGGAAAGGGCCCUGGGCGCGUGGUUGGGAGUCCCCCGCCGCCCCGGGAGACGGGAGACUAAUGGGUGUUGUUGGCGAGGCCAGGCACGCAGGCGGAGAAGAGCUGCCACUUGCCCCUCGUCUUGCAACUGUCGCUGCCAAAAGAGACUGUCCUUCGGAUGCUUUGAAACCUUAAAAAUCCAAAACAGUGUUUAAAAUGUCCCGCUCAACAUUCUUAAAAGUGAAGGAGAAGAGUUUGGGGUUGUGGGGUGGCGAUGAGAGCUAAAUACAUGACACUUUUCUGCGGGACUCUUCUGUCUUGCACGAGGUGCCAGUUCUGGAAAGAAGUCCUGAGUGAUGGUGGGUCAGAAUGUCCACCCAGAAAAGCUUUAGGUGGAGAUAGUGACAGUUUUGUUUGUUCUACCAUUCUUUAUGCAGUCUCCAGGUGGACUGUUCGGUUUUUACCCCGGGGCACAAAGUAGCCAGAAUACAAAAACUUCCUGUUUGCAGCCCAGACCUUCUCCAGCUACUGAGAACUUGUUCCGGUGAUGGAGCCUCAAAGGAAUUUGUGGAUUCUUCUCCCACAAGUGUCCAGGGGCAGGGGUGCUGUGAGAAUGUGCAGUUCACAGAGGGAGUGAGAAUGGCAGAGUCAAAACAUGUACCAGAGUUAAGGGAAAGACGAAAAGACUGUGUGAGCCAACUAUUUGCUUAUUAUUUCUCCUAAUAGAAAACUUUUGGUAAAAGCUUGAUAACAACUCUAAAGAAUAAGUUACAUUUACGUAAUUUUCCAAAGACACAGUCAUUCAGUUAACUUUAUUGAGGGCUCUAUGUUGCUAGGUGCUGGACACACUCAUUCAAUUGCUGUGUGACUAAAGCCAGGUCUCUACUCUGUGCUAAGAGCUCCUCAUCCAGAAGGGGAACAGUUCAUUAAAGUUCACUAGAUUCAUAAGCAGUAAGGAUAUUCCACUCAGAAUGAACAGAUAGAAUAACUCAUGCCUCAAAAAAGAGCAUGGUCGGUCUGUGGACGAGCAUUUUGAUUUGGCUGGGUCAAAGAGUGCUUGUGGGAAAAGCUUGUUAGUGAAAAUAAACGCAGAAUUUUCCCCCAGCUUUACACGAUGUGAUGUUACAGCAAAAGCCAGACAAUUUGGAGUUCAAGCUUUGCUUUGUUUGGAAUGGGGAGAUAUAAAAGGAAAGCUGUAUGCUAAACAUGGGUUCUUUUAGGAAAUUUAAGAACACAGAAAUAGCCUGAAGGCCCAAAGGCCAGUUGCUGAUAGGAUUUAGUGGGGUGAGGAGCUUAGGGGAGAAAGAUAUUUAGUUGUGUUUGGUAACGUCUUCAGAAAUAGUAUUGGGUUGAAAAGCAAGGUAAGUGUAUUCUAAUCCUCAUUCUACUAAGUUCAUAUGACCUUGGGCAAGUUAAGUUAUUUCAAUUACUCUUAUGUAAAAGGAGAUUGUAUCAAAGGUUCUAAACCCUCUUCUACUCAAAAAUUCCAUGAUUCCAAGAUUUUUUGGUGAGUUUGAAGUCAUGGAGUUUAACUUAACUUUCACCCAACAGAAUAUUCAGGAUCUACUAACUGCUUGGGAAACUGGAGUGAAACAUGGGUCAUGCUCUUAACCAAGCUCGAUUGUGUAGUGGGGCAGCCAGAAACGUAGCCUGCAGAAUGAGAAGUGCUAUAUUAAAGAAGUGAAUGAGAAUAGAGCAUUCUUAAUCAUCAAUUAAUUAAUAAUGGAACUAUUAAUUCAGGUUGGAGUUGUGGGGCGUGAGGUAAACGUCAAAGAAGGAAACAUUAGAUUAGUCCUGGAGAGAGCACUAGGGCUAGUGAUAAUGUAGAUAAUAUAGGUAAUACUCUUGGCAAAAUACCUGGAACUUGGGUGUUCAACAAAUAAUACCUAUUGUUAAAGUCACCAUAAAGAUAAUAAAUGGUUCCAUGAGGUUAGGGGCAGUAGUGCCCUGCCCCCACAAUGUGAGGUGCCUGGCUCCCUUCAUUCAGCUGACUCAAGGGGUUGCUCAAAUGAUUUCAACUCACAGCUCCUCUCCCAGAUGACAUGGCAUCAGCUCCACCAGACGUAACUUGUAAGGUACAAAUUGCUUCUAAUGUUUAGUUCUUCCUCACGUGACAACCUGUUUUGUAAUUAUUUUCUCUCUCUCUCUUGUUUUUGCUAUGUCAGUCCUUGAAAUUAGGGUUCAUGUUUCACGGGCACUCUUGGGAGCAUAUAAAUUUGACCUAAUGCAAUUAUUUCAUAAAAUAUAUAAUAAAAAGGGCCCUUUUCCCAUAAGGUCCCUCAGAAUAGUUUCACAAGCAGACACCAGCUACCACAAAAAAGAUUGUUUCUUCUCAGUCUCUUUUCUUUUCUCUUGUUGGUGUGGGGUCCUGCCAGCCUCUCACUCACAGCCUUGAGAAGGGCAGUAGUAGGAGGGAAGAUGCCGAAUCCAAUUGCAGUAUUACAAUGAUUAUCUCUUAUCCCCUUAUCCACCAAAUGUUGUGACAAAAAGAGGCCUGCCUAAGGGCAAAUAAGUCAGACCCCAGAAUCCUUUGCACCUCCGUAGUUUGGGAGAUGCUUUUCCUUUCAAUGAGUCUCUGUUAUCUGUGUACAUAAUUGUGAGUAUGUGUAACUAAGAAUUUCACAGGAUCUCUCACUGAAUUACCUGAGAAGUUUCUUAAUUGAAUGAUUAUGUAAGCUGGGGUAUAGACCUCAACUCAUCCACCAUGACCAACAGCAUCCCUCACACAUAGAAGAUGUAGAAUACAUAUGAAUUUAUUUUGUUGAUUUUAAGGUGCUUUGUUUCCUUCCAGUCAAUAACUUUUCUGAGUGUCCCUUCAGUUUUACUGGCUGUUUCUGAUGCUUUCCAGUUACUUGUAUCCUCAGUCCUCUGGCUAAGCAGUUUUCUCUUUCUACCCAUAAACACUGGAUUGGUUUACUAGGAAGGUAUUUCUUGGCUCAGCCUUAGUUUACACAGCCUUGUUUGUCAUUGUUAGUCCCAGUGUCUUUGGACCGCCAGAAUCCAAGUGCACCCAGUGACAUCUGGGUGCACUUCCACUGCAUCCUGAGGGGAAAACCUGCUGUGUGCUACACCAAGGGCUGAGCCCUGGAGUUCGAAAGGUGCAUAAGCCUUGGUUUGACGUCAGAUAACUCAGUGAUUAUUUUCUGUAUUUCUCUUUUGAGAUAACUCUAAGGGAAGGUAUAUACCCAGAAAGGCUUAUGUCAUGGUAAGGAGCCUGUACACGUGAAACAAAACCAUGAGCUCCUUAGUAUGUCAAAAGGCAUUACAGAAAAAUUUUUAAAGAAAUAUUUAACAUUAUAACAAAAAUUUAGCCUUGCUAGUUAUCCAGAAAGGAAAGUUGAAAUGAAAUAUCUACCAAAAUAGCAAAAACAAUUUUUAGUUGUUAUAAUAAUUCCUGGAAAAUUGGUUUUAAAAAAAAAAUCCCUUUGCCCAUUUCUAGUAGCAAUGAAAAUUGGUACAUGUUUCAAAAAGCAAUUUGGAAGUUUUUUUCAGGAGCAUUAAAUGUUGCCAUACCCUUUGACCAGAUUUCUCCAUUUCAAGAAAUGUACUUUAAGGAAACAUUCUAAAAGUGAGAAAAAUGAUAUUGAAAAAUUGGAAAUGUCCAACAAUAUGCAAAUGAUUACACAUACUGAUUCACCCACAUAAUUAAAUUUGCCAUUAUUAAAAUAACAGUUGUGCAAAGCAAGCUAAAAUACAAAAACAGAUUAUGAUAAAAUACACUUAAGGUAUAAGUUUGUCUAUUUUAGUCACUGAAAUCAGAGCCUGCCUCAAUACCUCUCAAGGUACCGAGCACAAAGUAAAUCCUCUAUAAAUAUUUGUUGAAUUAAUAUGCAUUGUAUUUUUACAAUAAGCAAAACAAAAAUGUCUGAAAACAAAAGGUUGACCAGUACCUAGAUUUUAGAAUGACUAUGAAUAUGAACAACUUUAUAUUCUUCUUACUAUAUGCAGUGUUUUUCUAGUUUAAUAAGCAGGUACUACUUUUAUGAGGGAAAAAAAGAUGUAAAUAAAUGCAGAGGUGUAGAUUUGGCAAAAAUAAAUGCUGUUUUAACAGUUUUUUUUUAAAGUUCUUACAUAAAUUAAAAGAAAUGAUGAAAGUUCAAGCAGACUAUUUUAGAAUUUGUCAGGAUUUUAAAGUUGAUAUAAGAAAAAAUAGGGAAGACCAAUUUUAAAUACUGAAAAAAGCCAUAUGAAGAGACUCCACAUUAAAUAAAACAAGCUCUGGCUCGAGGACAGAUAGAUCACUGAAAAAGAUGUAACCAAGAAUUAGAUCAUUUAAUUAUGUAACAGAUGAGAUUUUACCUAAAACAUACAAAAAAAAGAAGUAUUAUGCAAUAAAUGACUGAGAUAACUAGUUACCAAUAUGGAAAAAGAUCACUUAAAAUCAUGCCUUAUUUCAUACAUCAGCAUAGUUAUAAGCGAGUUCAAGAGUUAACAUUUUUAAAAGUCACUACUUAAGAAAAUCAGAAUAAUUUGAGUACAUGAUACAGAGAGACAGAGUUAUGCUAUACUAUGCUAAAAAGCAACAGCACCAUGAAAAAUUACAGGAAACAACGCAUUUGACCAGGUACACAAAUUGAAGCCUCAAUAUGCCUUCCUAAAGGAACCACGUACAUAUACAUGUAGCAAGUUGAAACAACAGGCUAGAUAAAAUGGUUUGUAUAAUACUAUGAAUAAUGAUUAGUAUAUAUC
rnacentral:lncRNA from 1 species